rnacentral:lncRNA from 1 species
UAAAUUAGCAUUUAACACCUUUAUCUCUUGGACAAAAAUAACCUUUCUCUAAUGCUUAAAAAGAACUUCACCUACUGGACAAUUAGUAAUUGGGCUCUCCCUUAUUUAUUUAUUUCUAAAAACCUGUGUUGCUUUUUGUUUUCUCUCUCAUGCUUAACUUUCUUCAAGCUUCCUUCCCCAAGUACAUGUCCCACAUCUGCAACUUACUUCACCAUUUUUUUUAAGAAUGCGGUUCAUGUUGUCUGUAUUGUGUGAUGUUUCUUCCCCUUCCAUUAGACUUCAACUCCACCCAUCCAAAAACAUUUCUAGGUUACCAUAUAUUCUUCCUACCACGCUAUUUCUUUCUUGU